GUGGUUUUAGUUUAACAAAAAUACCUGCUUUGCAAGCAGGAGAUCUAAGGUGUAUUCUUGGAUACCACA
rnacentral:tRNA from 1 species